GGCGCAACGCGAGACGACAGUAGAAACUCCCCGACCCGUCCCCAACCUAACCCGCCUCCUACCGCCGGAGGCACCCGCGACGGCGGCAGCCGGAGCGAGGGAGCCCGCAGCGCCGUGACGGGUAGCUCCUCCGACCCACGCGCUGCCGCCGGCCGCCCGUCCGCACGCCUCCCCGCCAACGGGCUCGCCGGCCCCUCCGCGCGCGCCUUCCCUCCGACGGGCGCCACCCCCUCCCCGCGCACCUCCCCGUCGACGGGUGCCGGAUCCUCCCUGCGCGCCUCCCCUCCGACGGGCUCGCCGGCCCCCCUCCCCGCGCGCCUCCCCUCCGGCGGGCGCUGGCCCCUCCCCGUGCACCUCCCCGCUGGCGUUACUCGUCUCCUCCCCACGCGCCUCCCCGCGGGCGUUCGCCGGCCCCUACCAGCGAGUCUCCCCGCCGCCGGGCCCUCCCCGUGAAGCUCCCCGCCGCCAUCGACGCCAACUGCUGCUCGCGAACGGGAUGGAUUCAAUGCCCGCUGCCGGAUCCAGCGCCCCCACCACCAUCUCCCAAUUCACUGCCUGUCGCGCAUGGCAUCGCCCUUCCUUCCUUCCUCUUAAUAUUCUCUGCCAGCCGGUAGUGGCAUCCCAUGUGCUGCAGCUUCCAGCGUCGUCCUCUGCCUUGUCGGCACACAAGCCGUUCGCCUCAGCCACCCCAGUCCGUUCACAAUUUCUAGCAGAGUCCGUUCAACACUAGCGUCCAGCUACCCGCCUCCUGGAUUCAGGGACGCAUUCAUGGCUUUAUUCAAUAAGUGGACUGUGGGCAGAUGUUGAUCAACAAGUGAGCUAAGGGACUGGACGCCCUCCUCGCCGCGGCGUCAUUGCUGGCCGUCAGCGGCGGAAGCGGGGUGGCGGCCGGGACGUUGUUGUGCUCGUCUCCGACUACUGUCAAGGCUGGAACAUGGAGCUUGCAGCUUAUGUUUGUUGUCGUUUGAACUUAGGCUCUUCUCUCUCUUGUACUUCAGUUAUUCUUCAGUUUUCAGUAUUGGUGUAGUCUGUAUGGUGAAGAUGAAGUUCCUUUUUGAACUUCUCCGGUUAAUAUACAUGAACUUGGUCA